rnacentral:lncRNA from 1 species
UCAGCCUCCCAAUCAAUCGCGAACUAUCACAAGCAUUAUCAGUCGUCAACAUAACAGCACCACUCGUGUGAACAUUAUCAAGAUCCUUGAUAUAGAAAUAACCAUUCCAUGUCUGCAACCUAGCAUUCACAAACCAAUUGCAUCCCAUAGGUGCUCUCUUCAAACAAUAUUCCUUCACUCUCUUCUUCUCAUUCUUCACAAAAUUAUAUUUAAAACCACAACGGAUCGCAUAUUUUGACAAGC